UCAAUGCUCUAGUUGUUUGUGUUAAGGGAUAAGUUAUCCCACCACCCUGUUAUUGUAAAUGUACUGUAGUGGCAUUCUUAAAAAUAUAUAGUCUUCAAAAAUCUCUAGAAUUCUCUUAGGUCUUCUAGAAUCUUCUGAGAUAUUGCCUUAGAGGUUUAUAAAUAGGAGAAAUUGUAUUCAUUCUUUUCAUCAAGAAAUACAAGCCUCUCUCUGUUAUUUUACAUGGUAUCAGAGCAGACUAUCUGAUACUAUUCUGCUCUCCUUUCCUAUCUUCCUCCUCAUCAAUUUCAAUAUGCUAUCUUCUUCUCUUCUUCCCCACUCCUCUCCUUGCCUUGGUCAUGGGGACACCUUGUUUCUGGCUCUAGUCUUUGGCCACCUUGUCUUCCCUCUCCUGUUGAUGUUUGCCUCUAGCCACCGUCCAGCACAUAGCCACCACUUCUUGUUGCAAUCUCAUUUGCUACUGCCCAUUGCUUCAAUGUCACAUAUUUUUUUUAUCCUUUUCAUUAAGAAAAUACGUGACUCUAUUAUUUUAUAUGGUACUAGAGCAGGCACCACUCCCCCCCUCUUUUCUCCACUUCAAGUUUUUUGGUAGUGAUCAAAAGAGGGGUAGUGUAGGGUGUGAGGAGAUAAGGUGGGUGGAUGGAUGGAGGGAGGGGGAUUCUAUAUAUUACGAAAAUGCCACUGCAGUAUAUUUACAAGAAUGCCAUAAUGGAAUAACUUAUCCCUUAACAGUUUCCUACCACCUCUGUCUAUUAUGUUUGGCAGUGACUUGUUUUCUCUAAGAAGUUCGCCUUAGUAAAGAAAUGUUCGAAAGUGACAUAUUUGCUCGUCUUAUCAUGAGGCAUACUGUAUGAUGCUUGAUUGAAAGAAAUGUUAUUUUUUGUUCCACCCAGCAAUGGUACAGGUUAGUUACACCUUCGGGUUACCUAAACUUUUCGUCUGGUGGGCCCUAUCAUUGGAUGUGCCAUGCACCAAUUCUCCUCCACAUGAUCCUAACCUUCUUACUGGUGACUUGGAAAUGGACAAUUACAGAGAAUGAUCUGCACAUAACAGGGGAGAAAAAAAAAUCAAACAGUUAGCAUGAUCCAAUUGGGAGAUUCUUGGGUUCUAUCUCAUCCACAAUGGCCCAUCAUAUGACUAGUGUGGAUCACCAAAAGGUGGUCCAUGUUCAUUAUUGGGGGGGAACAAAUGCUUGAUCAAGCAUUGUAUGUUUCCUCUUUGAUCAUUAUUUUUAUCCAUUUGCAGUGCAUCUUGAAACUUUAAUAUAUAUCUUUUUGGCUCCCUCAACAACAGGAAAAAAAAAAAAAAAACAAAAA